AGAACGAACGCUGGCGGCAUGCCUAAUACAUGCAAGUCGAACGAGAUCUUCGGAUCUAGUGGCGCACGGGUGCGUAACGCGUGGGAAUCUACCCUUGGGUUCGGAAUAACAGUUGGAAACGACUGCUAAUACCGGAUGAUGACGAAAGUCCAAAGAUUUAUCGCCCAAGGAUGAGCCCGCGUAGGAUUAGCUAGUUGGUGAGGUAAAGGCUCACCAAGGCUACGAUCCUUAGCUGGUCUGAGAGGAUGAUCAGCCACACUGGGACUGAGACACGGCCCAGACUCCUACGGGAGGCAGCAGUAGGGAAUAUUGGACAAUGGGGGCAACCCUGAUCCAGCAAUGCCGCGUGAGUGAUGAAGGCCUUAGGUUGUAAAGCUCUUUUACCCGAGAUGAUAAUGACAGUAUCGGGAGAAUAAGCUCCGGCUAACUCCGUGCCAGCAGCCGC
rnacentral:rRNA from 1 species